rnacentral:rRNA from 1 species
AUUGAACGCUGGCGGCAGGCUUAACACAUGCAAGUCGAGCGGAGAUGAGGUGCUUGCACCUUAUCUUAGCGGCGGACGGGUGAGUAAUGCUUAGGAAUCUGCCUAUUAGUGGGGGACAACAUUCCGAAAGGAAUGCUAAUACCGCAUACGCCCUACGGGGGAAAGCAGGGGAUCUUCGGACCUUGCGCUCAUAGAUGAGCCUAAGUCGGAUUAGCUAGUUGGUGGGAUAAAGGCCUACCAAGGCGACGAUCUGUAGCGGGUCUGAGAGGAUGGUCCGACACACGGGGACGGAGACACGGCCCAGGCUCCGACGGGAGACAGCAGUGGGGAAUAUUGGACAAUGGGCGGAAGCCUGAUCCAGCCAUGCCGCGUGUGUGAAGAAGGCCUUUUGGUUGUAAAGCACUUUAAGCGAGGAGGAGGCUACCUGGAUUAAUACUCUAGGAUAGUGGACGUUACUCGCAGAAUAAGCACCGGCUAACUCUGUGCCAGCCGCCGCGGUAAGAC